ensembl:misc_RNA 7SK 7SK RNA
CAAAGAUCUGGUCGUGACAUCUGUCACCACAUUGAUCUCCAGGGUUGAUUUGGCUGGUCUGCCUGACUAGGCAAGUGUUCCCUUUCUCCUUCACUUUUCCACACGUGUCCCUCCUGAAGCUGUACGCUCAGUCUGAGAGGACAACCUUCCACAACAGAGUAGGGCCAUUUCCUGGGUCAAGGGUAUACGAGUAGUUAGCUCCCCUGCUAGAACCCCCAAACAAACUCUCAAAGUGUGUUCUCAUGUCCUUUAACCUUCACAGCUGCCCUAGGUGAGAGGAAGGCAUUAUUGCUGUUCACAUCUCACAAAUAAGGAGCCUUGGGAAAAAGAGCAAAAUGUCUCAAAAU